GGUGGGGGUGCCAAGCCUUUAAUUCGAAAUUUACUGGGACGUAAAAGCUUGGCGCAGGGCGGUUUCGGAAAAGAAAAGAAUGUGAAAAUCCCCAGGGCUCAACCCUUGGAAACUGCAUUUUUGAACUACCCGAACUAGAGUUAUGUCAGAAGGGGGGUUGGAAUUUCCACGUGGUAGCAGUGAAAAUGCUUUAGAUUAUGUGGAAGGAACACCCGAUGGGCGAAAGGCAGCCCCCCUGGGAUAAUACUGACGCUCAUGCACGAAAGCGUGGGGAGCAAACCAGGAUUUAGAUACCCUGGUAGUCCCACGCCCUUAAACGAUGUCAAUCUAGCUGUUGGGCCCUUCGGGGGCUUAGUAGCGCAGCUAACGCGUGAAGUUGACCGCCUGGAGAGUACGGUCGCAAGAUUAAAACUCAAAGGAAUUGACGGGGACCCGCACAAGCGGUGGAUGAUGUGGAUUAAUUCGAUGCAACGCGAAAAACCUUACCUACCCGUGACAUGUCUGGAAUCCUGAAGAGAUUUAGGAGUGCUCGCAAGAGAACCGGAACACAGGUGCUGCAUGGCUGUCGUCAGCUCGUGUCGUGAGAUGUUGGGUUAAGUCCCGCAACGAGCGCAACCCUUGUCAUUAGUUGCUACAUUUAGUUGAGCACUCUAAUGAGACUGCCGGUGACAAACCGGAGGAAGGUGGGGAUGACGUCAAGUCCUCAUGGCCCUUAUGGGUAGGGCUUCACACGUCAUACAAUGGUCGGGACAGAGGGUUGCCAAACCGCAAGGUGGAGCUAAUCUCAUAAACCCGAUCGUAGUCCGGAUUGCAGGCUGCAACUCGCCUGCAUGAAGUCGGAAUCGCUAGUAAUCGCGGAUCAGCAUGUCGCGGGGAAUACGUUCCCGGUUCUUGUACACACCGCCCGUCACUCCAUGGGAGUGGGUUUUACCAGAAGUAGUUAGCC
rnacentral:rRNA from 1 species